UAGAGAGAGAGGGAGAGAAACAAUCCCAAGCAGGCUUAGCACCGAGCGCAGAGCCUGGCACGGGCUCAAUCUCAUGACAGUCAGAUUAUGACCUGAGUCGAUAUCAAUAGUUGGAUGCUCUUGUAGGAAAAAUAUCGUAUUUUUGGAGAUAAAGUGUGUGGAGUGUUACACUUCUGACAAACACUAGGUAAAAUACGCAGGGGAGAUCCAAGCUAAAGACGAUCUGUAAGUCUAAGAAAGACUAUACACCUAGCUCCAACAAAGCAAAACAAGAAAAAAAUAUAAUUAUCUUUGAGACACUUAACAACGAAAAACAUGGUUUUGCCACCUGGUUUCCUGAAUCCCUUUAGUAUUACUGGCAUAAACUGGGGAGCAGGGUGGGUUAAGGACAAGGGUGAUACAUGCCUUUUAUUAGCCAUUCAAAACCUCAGCUGUGGGCUUGCCACUGCCACAGUCCAUAUGACAAGGGACCAGCCACCCCCAUUUCACCUGUGCUUAUUCCCUGGUUACUCUGUAAUAAGGUUUAACUAGGAAGGCCCACCCAGAAACAAGUCAGCAGUAGACUGAGGAGGGUGUUGGGAGGUGGGGGUGAUGGUGAGGGGCAAGGCAAGUUAAUUAAAAAGAAGAUUUAAAUGUCAAGUUUGCAUAUGAUCAAGCGGCAAGAGCCAGAAAAGGUCUCCCCUUAUAGAAGUAUUUUUAUAAAACAGUCCUUUGCCUUGAAGGGAUAUUGUAAGAAAAAAAUCUCAUGAAAUGUACUAUUGUACUUGCUACAAAAGUGUGGAUGGUACAGGCCACUUACAGCGAUCCACUGAAAAACGUCCCAUCAGACUCUGCACUGAGAAGAGCUGUACUGGACCCAGACUUGCUAAUAAUUGUAUUUUCUUUUCUGCUUUUAUCACUAGGGAACGCAGGGCUAAAGAGUCAGCUGCAUAGACUAGCAACUGCUGAGGACUUGGUGGCACACAUUUAUGCUUGAAGAGUGGGAUAGGGAGACGAUGAGAGGAGGGACAGGGCCUCUGGGAUGGCAGCUUGUGCGCUGAAGACCCGUUUAGCUGGUUUGUGCCCUGCCUAUGCAGGCUCCUGCCCUAUCACCUCCAGGCCUCGUGAGCAGAAGACCCAGUUCUACGGUUUAACAAGUAUCUCUGGAGUCCCUGCUAUUAUCAGGCCUGAGGCACAAAGAUGAACAAGAAGAGCCUAACGUCCCAGCAUCUGUGGGGCAUGAAAACCCCGCAAAAAGGUUUCACCUUCUCCAGUGCUGAUAAAAUAAUAUAUGGUUGUUAUUGUGCCUCAGCAGCCUCUCAAGCUCUGCUUAUUAGCCAGGGCAGGCCUCGUUUGCAACAUGCUCUCACAUCGUCUACAUAAACCAACAGGACGUCCCUGCUAUUGCAACAUUUUGGGGCCCAGAUUACACCCUUGCACAUGAGACAUGGAAGCGUCAGGUCGGCACGCUCUCCGGAAUGCCUCCUCCGUGCGCCUCAGUCGUGUCGACCGAUAAGCUUCCGCGUGAACCCUGCAGAACCGCUGUGUCACAUUCACGGUGGUGUGAUUCUGUUAGACCGUGAGCUACCUGAACACCGGCGCGGUGUCUUGGUCACUCUUCUGUCCCCCAUGCUCCAUAUCCAGCAAACGCUCAAGAAACCGCUGCCGAACAACCACAUACUCUGGUCUAUUUGGAACUGUCCAUUUUAGGUGUCUGAACCCACAGUCGCUUGGCUCUCCUGGUCCAAUGUGAAAUCACUGGCCCUUGUCUUCCUGUUUCAGGAACUCGGGACCUGUAAAGAUUUUUUGUGAUUUCUGGCAUAUCUGCCCUAUAUCUCAGAGAAGACGUCAAUUUCAUUUUAUCUAAUUCGCUUUCGGAGCAAGGAUUAUUUUUAAAAUAUCAAAAAUAUAGGUAUCAACCCUUUUAAGAGGUAGGAAAAUUUACCAAGCAAGUGGGGACUUGUAGUUAAAAGCCUCUUUCUGGUGUUGCCUUAGUACUUCCGAGGGCAGACCUUCCACUUGGUGUGACUGUGGCCUGUGGGGGGGAGACCGGGCCUGCUCCCCAUGUGUGGCUGGUGGUUAAGAGCCUACACACUGAAGCCAUCUGCCUAAGCCCAAACCUGACAUCGCCAGCCACCAGACUACACUCGUAGACAAGUUACCUGUUCUGCGCUGGUUGGUUUUUUCGUUUUUCUUUUGUAAUGUGGGAUAAGCUAAUAGCUGUGCCACAGAAGGUGGCUGGGAUUGGGAAGUGAUGCAUACAGCACUUGGGAAAUGCCCAGGGAGCUGUAAGUUCUCAUUUGGGGUUAUUUAUUGGACGAGGCACACAAGGGCCCUGCAUGUACCACCACACCCAGAGUCAGUCUAACACGGGACUCUGGUCGUGCACACCUCCUCCUAAUGUGGCCAAUGAAAGGGAAAGAAAGCAGACAUAGAGCGCAGUGCAGUCCAAAGUGGCAAAGGUGGCAAAGGAAGGGGUGUCAGAGAGAGGGAGUGGGGGGAAAGCUUUACAAAAAGGAGAGCUCCCCAAGGACGGGGCCUCUGUCUUCUCCUGCUUACAGGCACCCGCACUGGAUUUGGCAUGUGUGAAAUAAUUGCCUGCGGGUGAGAUGCAGGAAGGGACGGGAAGGGCAAGCAAGCAUUUCUCUUGGUCACAUGCUCACAGGAGCUUUCUCAAGCCCUCUGCGGUGCAGCAGGAACACAGGCACGGACUCUGGCAGACCUGGGCUCCAUCAGGAUUCUGCAACAACUAGCCGAGGGCCUCUGGCCAACUUAUUUAGCUUUUCUCAGUCUCUGUCAUUAUCUGUAAACUCUACAUUGCAGAACUGUUGUGAGGACCGGAGGUAACAUGUGGGCCUGGUGCCUAUUUGAUGUUCAAUAAACGGCAGUGAUUACUG